rnacentral:rRNA from 1 species
AAGACCUUGCACUUUUGGAGCGGCCGAUGUCUGAUUAGCUAGUUGGUAGGGUAAUGGCCUACCAAAGCUUCGAUCAGUAGCUGGUCUGAGAGGACGGCCAGCCACACUGGGACUGAGACACGGCCCAGACUCCUACGGGAGGCAGCAGUGGGGAAUUUUGGACAAUGGGCGCAAGCCUGAUCCAGCCAUGCCGCGUGAGUGAAGAAGGCCUUCGGGUUGUAAAGCUCUUUCAGCCGGGAAGAAAAGGUUGCGACUAAUAAUCGCAAUCCAUGACGGUACCGAAAGAAGAAGCACCGGCUAACUACGUGCCAGCAGCCGCGGUAAUACGUAGGGUGCGAGCGUUAAUCGGAAUUACUGGGCGUAAAGGGUGCGCAGGCGGUUUUGUAAGUCAGAUGUGAAAUCCCCGGGCUUAACCUGGGGACU